UCCGGUUUAACACCGGCGGUCUUCCUAGAGUCCCCAACUCAAUGCUGGUAACUAAGAACAGGGGUUGCGCUCGUUGCCAGACUUAACCGAACAUUUCACAACACGAGCUGACGACAGCCAUGCAGCACCUGUCUGCGAGUCCCCGAAGGGAAAGCCGCAUCUCUGCGGAUGUCUCGCGAUGUCAAGGCCAGGUAAGGUUCUGCGCGUCGCUUCGAAUUAAACCACAUACUCCACCGCUUGUGCGGGCCCCCGUCAAUUCCUUUGAGUUUUAGUCUUGCGACCGUACUUCCCAGGCGGGAUACUUAAUGUGUAAACUUCGGCACUCAGAGGGUUAAUUCCCCAAACGCCUAGUAUCCAUCGUUUACGGUGCGGACUAC
rnacentral:misc_RNA from 1 species